GUGCCAGCAGCCGCGGUAAUACGUGUGGAGCGAGCGUUGUCCGGAAUUAUUGGGCGUAAAGGGUACGCAGGCAGUUUAAUAAGUCGAAUGUUAAAGAUCGGGGCUCAACCCCGUAAAGCAUUGGAAACUGAUAAACUUGAGUAGUGGAGAGGAAAGUGGAAUUCCUAGUGUAGUGGUGAAAUACGUAGAUAUUAGGAGGAAUACCAGUAGCGAAGGCGACUUUCUGGACACAAACUGACGCUGAGGUACGAAAGCGUGGGGAGCAAACAGGAU
rnacentral:rRNA from 1 species